rnacentral:rRNA from 1 species
CCUGGGGGCAACCCGGUUGCUAGCCAUCCCGCGUGAGUGAAGAAGGCCCUAGGGUCGUAAAGCUCUUUCGCCUGUGAUGAUAAUGACNGUANCAGGUAAAGAAACCCCGGCUAACUCCGUGCCAGCAGCCGCGGUAAUACGGAGGGGGUUAGCGUUGUUCGGAAUUACUGGGCGUAAAGCGCACGUAGGCGGACUAAUCAGUCAGGGGUGAAAUCCCGGNNUUUAACCCCGGAACUGCCUUUGAUACUGUUAGUCUUGAGUUCGAGAGAGGUGAGUGGAAUUCCAAGUGUAGAGGUGNAAUUCGUAGAUAUUUGGAGGAACACCAGUGGCGAAGGCGGCUCACUGGCUCGAUACUGACGCUGAGGUGCGAAAGUGUGGGGAGCAAACAGGAUUAGAUACCCUGGUAGUCCACACCGUAAACGAUGAAUGCCAGACGUCGGGCAGUUUACUGCUUCGGUGUCACACCUAACGGAUUAAGCAUUCCGCCUGGGGAAGUACGGUCGCAAGAUUAAAACUCAAAGGAAUUGACGGA